UACGGAGGGAGCUAGCGUUGUUCGGAAUUACUGGGCGUAAAGCGCGCGUAGGCGGCCUUGCAAGUUAGAGGUGAAAGCCCGGAGCUCAACUCCGGAACUGCCUUUAAAACUGCAUAGCUUGAAUCCGGGAGAGGUGAGUGGAAUUCCGAGUGUAGAGGUGAAAUUCGUAGAUAUUCGGUAAGAACACCAGUGGCGAAGGCGGCUCACUGGACCGGUAUUGACGCUGAGGUGCGAAAGCGUGGGGAGCAAACAGG
rnacentral:rRNA from 1 species